CAUCCUCUGACACUCCUAGAGAUAGGACGUUCCCCUUCGGGGGACAGAGUGACAGGUGGUGCAUGGUUGUCGUCAGCUCGUGUCGUGAGAUGUUGGGUUAAGUCCCGCAACGAGCGCAACCCUUGUUCUUAGUUGCCAGCAUUCAGUUGGGCACUCUAAGGAGACUGCCGGUGACAAACCGGAGGAAGGUGGGGAUGACGUCAAAUCAUCAUGCCCCUUAUGACCUGGGCUACACACGUGCUACAAUGGAUGGUCCAAGGGCUGCAACACCGCGAGGUUUAGCCAA
rnacentral:rRNA from 1 species